UAGACGAAGGCGUGAUGCGGAGCGAAAUGAAGUAGUGAAGCUGCGGCCCCUUCCUGUCGAGAAAAGCCGCUAUCGUGUAGCAAGGGCCCGUACCGUAAACCGACACAGGUGGAUGAGGAGAGGAUCCUAAGGCCGGCGGGAGAAGUGUUGUUAAGGAACUCGGCAAAAUGACUCCGUAACUUCGGGAGAAGGAGUGCUGCGCAAGCAGCCGCAGAGAAAUGGCCCAAGCAACUGUUUAGCAAAAACACAGGUCUAUGCGAAACCGAAAGGUGAGGUAUAUGGGCUGACGCCUGCCCGGUGCUGGAAGGUUAAGGGGAGAGCUUAGCGCAAGCGAAGGUUUGAACUUAAGCCCCAGUAAACGGCGGCCGUAACUAUAACGGUCCUAAGGUAGCGAAAUUCCUUGUCGGGUAAGUUCCGACCCGCACGAAAGGCGUAAUGAUUUGGGCACUGCCUCAACAACACACCCGGUGAAAUUGAAAUACCAGUGAAGAUGCUGGUUACCCGCGCCAGGACGGAAAGACCCCAUGGAGCUUUACUCCAGCCUGAUACUGGGAUUCGGUAUUGCAUGUACAGGAUAGGUGGGAGGCUAAGAACUUAUGGCGCCAGCCGUGAGGGAGCCGAUGUUGGGAUACCACCCCUGCAGUACUGGGUUUCUAACCUGCGCCCGUGACCCGGGCGGGGGACAAUGUCAGGCGGGGAGUUUGACUGGGGCGGUCGCCUCCGAAAGGGUAUCGGAGGCGCUCAAAGUCUCCUCAGGAUGGUUGGAAACCAUCCAGAGAGUGCAAAGGCAGAAGGAGGCUUGACUGCGACACCGACGGGUGGAGCAGGUACGAAAGUAGGACUUAGUGAUCCGGUGGCAUAAAGUGGGAUUGCCAUCGCUCAACGGAUAAAAGCUACCCUGGGAUAACAGGCUUAUCACUCCCAAGAGUUCACAUCGACGGAGUGGUUUGGCACCUCGAUGUCGGCUCAUCGCAUCCUGGAGCUGGAGCAGGUUCCAAGGGUUGGGCUGUUCGCCCAUUAAAGCGGUACGCGAGCUGGGUUCAGAACGUCGUGAGACAGUUCGGUCCCUAUCCGGCGCGGGCGCAGGAUAUCUGAGAGGAGCUGUCCUUAGUACGAGAGGACCGGGAUGGACCGUCCGCUGGUGGACCGGUUGUCAUGCCAAUGGCACGGCCGGGUAGCCAAGACGGGAAGGGAUAAACGCUGAAGGCAUCUAAGCGUGAAGCCCCCCUCAAGAUGAGAUAUCCAUACUCGAAAGAGUGAGAGACCCCUUAGAGACGAUGAGGUAGAUAGGGCAGAGAUGGAAGCACAGCGAUGUGUGGAGUUGACUGUUACUAAUCGGUCGAUAGCUCG
rnacentral:rRNA from 1 species